rnacentral:tRNA from 1 species
AAAAAUGAAGCAUUUUUAAUGCGGCGUACUGUAAAUACGAAGAAGGGUAAACUCCCCGUUUUUA